AGUGAACGCUGGCGGUAGGCCUAACACAUGCCAGUCGAACGGCAGCACAGUAAGAGCUUGCUCUUACGGGUGGCGAGUGGCGGACGGGUGAGGAAUACAUCGGAAUCUACUUUUUCGUGGGGGAUAACGUAGGGAAACUUACGCUAAUACUGCAUACGACCUACGGGUGAAAGCAGGGGAUCUUCGGACCUUGCGCGAUUGAAUGAGCCGAUGUCGGAUUAGCUAGUUGGCGGGGUAAAGGCCCACCAAGGCGACGAUCCGUAGCUGGUCUGAGAGGAUGAUCAGCCACACUGGAACUGAGACACGGUCCAGACUCCUACGGGAGGCAGCAGUGGGGAAUAUUGGACAAUGGGCGCAAGCCUGAUCCAGCCAUACCGCGUGGGUGAAGAAGGCCUUCGGGUUGUAAAGCCCUUUUGUUGGGAAAGAAAAGCAGCAGGUUAAUACCCCGCUGUUCUGACGGUACCCAAAGAAUAAGCAUCGGCUAACUUCGU
rnacentral:rRNA from 1 species